AGCCCAGACUCCUACGGGAGGCAGCAGUGAGGAAUAUUGGUCAAUGGGCGGGAGCCUGAACCAGCCAAGUCGCGUGAGGGAAGACGGUCCUACGGAUUGUAAACCUCUUUUGCCGGGGAGCAACGGGGUCCUUGCGAGGGCCCGAUGAGAGUACCCGGAGAAAAAGCAUCGGCUAACUCCGUGCCAGCAGCCGCGGUAAUACGGAGGAUGCGAGCGUUAUCCGGAUUUAUUGGGUUUAAAGGGUGCGUAGGCGGGCUUUUAAGUCAGCGGUAAAAAUUCGGGGCUCAACCCCGUCCGGCCGUUGAAACUGGGGGCCUUGAGUGGGCGAGAAGAAGGCGGAAUGCGUGGUGUAGCGGUGAAAUGCAUAGAUAUCACGCAGAACUCCGAUUGCGAAGGCAGCAUACCGGCGCGCAACUGACGCUGAAGCACGAAAGCGUGGGUAUCGAACAGGAUUAGAUACCCCAGUUAA
rnacentral:rRNA from 1 species